rnacentral:rRNA from 1 species
UGCUCGACCAUGAACCCCGAAUAGGCCCCCAACAUGCCACAUUCCGCCAGAGAACUACACGCACAAAGCCAGAAACUCCAAGGACUUGACGGUGUCCUAACACCCUAGAGGAGCCUGUCCCACAAUCGAUACUCCGCGCUCAACCUUACCCCCCCUAGCACGAACAACCUGUAUACCGCCGUCGCAAGCCUACCCUAUGAAGAAGCCACAGUGGGCAAAAUAGCACCACCCCUAAUACGUCAGGUCAAGGUGCAGUUAAUGGGGGGGCCGUGAUGGGCUACACUCUUUAAACUAAAGCCCCGCAGGCGCGCCAUGAAACAUGCCCCCAAAGAAGGAUUUAGCAGUAAGUUUAACAAGAGUGUUAAAUUGAAGUCACGCCCUAGGACGCGUACAC